rnacentral:lncRNA from 1 species
AAAUGGAACAUAAAAAAACUAGAUGUGUCAAAGCGACACGAAUGGCCCUGUCCAAAAAAUGUUGAAAAUCUGCAAUUUCAAUAUAAACACAUGUGGACACAAACAUGAUGGAAGUCUCACAUAUCAAAAUUCAGCUCAAAAUCUGGAGGCGUAUAGAAAACAAUUUCCGUAUAACUGUGAUUUUCAAUAAUUUAUCAAAGUCCAAAGCCAGUUAUUUCAGCAAAAGUUAGCAGAGCGGAUCAAAACUUAAACUUGACCUGUAACUCAUCUUGGUGAACUCUCAUACCAAAAAUCAGCCCAAUAUCUGAAGGCGUUAAGAAAAAAAAGUCUGUCUAACUGUGAUUUUCAACAAUUUCUCAAAGUCCAAAGCCCCUAAUUUCGGCAAAAAUUAGUGGAGCAGAACAAAUCUUAACCUUGAUCUGUAACUCAUCAUGGUUAACUCGCAUACCAAAAAUCAGCCCAAUAUCUGAAAGCGUUUAGAAAAAAAGUCUGUAUAACUGUGAUUUUCAACAAUUUCUCAAAGUCCAAAGCCCGUAAUUUCGGCAAAAUUAGUGGAGCGGAACGAAACUUAAACUUGAUCUGUAACUCAUCAUGGUUAACUCACAUACCAAAAAUCAGCCCAAUAUCUGAAGGCGUUUAGAAAAAAACUCUGUAUAAUGGUUUGUUGCGGAAUGACGGAAUUACGGAAAUACAGAAUUUCGGACAAGGGUAAAACUAUAUGGCACCGACAACUUUGUUGCGGGGCCAUGAAAAUCUUAUUUGAAGAUCCAUUCACAGCUUUCCCUUUUCUUCCUAUCUAUAGAAUCUUUAAUUUUUAUCUUGGGGUUUUUCAAAUUACCAAAUAAAUUUGGGAAUUUAAGGAAAAAUAGAUUGUACACUUUACUUAAAUUUUUGAAUGGAAAUGUUCAUUAAGACAUUUGUAUUUUAGAUAGUAGGUAUUUAAUACAACACAUUAUUCUAACAACUGUUUUUGACCAUGAUCUACCAACCAUUGCUCUAUAUGGUUGUGUAAUCUAAAAUUAGUAAAGUAUUCCAUUUUAUUUCUGUGAUUAAAAAUGAAAUGACAAGGGGGAAAUUUUGUAAAUUGUUGAACACACAUCAUGUUUUUAAAUUGGGAGUCUCCUACUUUUUGAAUUUGCAAUAUAACAGGAAAUUAAAACACUUACAA